rnacentral:rRNA from 1 species
UACGUAGGGGCGAGCGUUGUCCGGAAUUACUGGGCGUAAAGGGAGCGUAGGCGGCCGAUUAAGUUGGAUGUGAAAUCCCCGGGCUUAACUUGGGUGGUGCAUCCAAUACUGGUUGGCUAGAGUACAGGAGAGGAAAGCGGAAUUCCUGGUGUAGCGGUGAAAUGCAUAGAUAUCAGGAGGAACAUCGGUGGCGAAGGCGGCUUUCUGGACUGACACUGACGCAGAGGCUCGAAAGCGUGGGGAGCAAACAGGAUUAGGAUACCCUGGUAGU